rnacentral:rRNA from 1 species
AACGAACGCUGGCGGCAUGCCUAACACAUGCAAGUCGAACGAGACCUUCGGGUCUAGUGGCGCACGGGUGCGUAACGCGUGGGAACCUGCCCUUAGGUUCGGAAUAACUCCCCGAAAGGGGUGCUAAUACCGGAUAAUGUCUUCGGACCAAAGAUUUAUCGCCUUUGGAUGGGCCCGCGUUGGAUUAGCUAGUUGGUAGGGUAAAAGCCUACCAAGGCGACGAUCCAUAGCUGGUCUGAGAGGAUGAUCAGCCACACUGGGACUGAGACACGGCCCAGACUCCUACGGGAGGCAGCAGUGGGGAAUAUUGGACAAUGGGCGAAAGCCUGAUCCAGCAAUGCCGCGUGAGUGAUGAAGGCCUUAGGGUUGUAAAGCUCUUUUACCCGGGAUGAUAAUGACAGUACCGGGAGAAUAAGCUCCGCCUAACUCCGUG